UCUUCUAGUCUCCAGCAGAGAGAAGAGAGGCUGUAUCUAUGUUUAGUGUUCUGACCUAUGACCAUCUGAAUGAUUAGUAGGCUAACACU
ensembl:snoRNA LOC120094933 small nucleolar RNA SNORA17